GGCUUUACUUUUUUAAUAUUGGAACACCCUUCUAAUGCUGAACACCAGAACAGUAUUUGAGGUUUUCGGUUAUUAUGUGCAGCCCUGUUCAGAAGCUUCCAAAGAAGCGCAGCCGUGUGGAACGCAUGAGAAGACUCUACAUGCAGUGCAGAGCUCCAGAACCGCUGAUCCCCCAGAUUCCUGGUCCUGCUCAGGGUUCAGAUGGGCGGGAACACUGGGAGCAAGAAAUGGACGAACUGGUGGAAUGGACUCAUUCUCUCUCUUUGAAAGAAUUGGAUAACCUAUGACCUUUAGCACAAAUUUAGAUAAUAUAACGUGAUCCUAUAAACACAAAUCAGAAACUUUUUUUUUCAAACCAGAACUGGAUUUACAGUACAAUAAACAAUGUCUUUAGGACACAUUUCAAAUCAAGGAACAUUUUAUUUAAAACAUUUUUUUUUUUACAAUUAUGACAAUAUUCAUCCACUCCUCUCUCUAUCUAUCUAUGUCAUAGAUAUUACAGUAAAAUACAACAAAUAUG